rnacentral:rRNA from 1 species
UACAGAGGUCUCAACCGUUGUUCGGAUUCAUUGGGCGUAAAGCGUGCGUAGUCGGUUAUCUAAGUCGGAUGUGAAAUCCCCGGGCUCAACCUGGGAAUUGCAUUCGAUACUGGAUAGCUAGAGUUCGGCAGAGGGAAGUGGAAUUUCGGGUGUAGCGGUGAAAUGCGCAGAUAUCAGGAGGAACACCGGUGGCGAAGGCGGGUCUCUGGGCCGUAACUGACGCUGAGGAGCGAAAGCGUGGGGAGCGAACAGG